UACGGGGGGAGCAAGCGUUGUUCGGAUUUACUGGGCGUAAAGGGCGCGUAGGCGGUCAGCACAAGUCAGUUGUGAAAUCUCCGGGCUUAACUCGGAAAGGUCAACUGAUACUGUGCGACUAGAGUGCAGAAGGGGCAACUGGAAUUCUCGGUGUAGCGGUGAAAUUCGUAGAUAUCGGGAGGAACACCGGUGGCGAAGGCGGCGAUCUGGGUAGAUACUGACGCUGAGGUGCGAAAGCGUGGGGAGCAAACAGG
rnacentral:rRNA from 1 species